rnacentral:rRNA from 1 species
UACAGAGGGUGCAAGCGUUAAUCGGAAUUAUUGGGCGUAAAGCGCGUGUAGGCGGCUUUGCAAGUCGGGUGUGAAAGCCCUCGGCUCAACCGAGGAAGUGCGCCCGAAACUGCAGAGCUUGAGUACCGGAGAGGAUGGCGGAAUUCCCCAAGUAGAGGUGAAAUUCGUAGAUAUGGGGAGGAACACCGGUGGCGAAGGCGGCCAUCUGGACGGAUACUGACGCUGAGACGCGAAAGCGUGGGGAGCAAACAGG